GCAAGUUCUUAGAUGAGAGGAAAAAAAGUUUUUUUUUUUUAAUUUUUGUACCCCCUUCCUACUACAGCCAUAAUGUGAUGCUAUUAGGGAGACUUGCCUUAACUGAUAUGUUGGAGUUAAUGGGAGAUAGAAAUCCUUGACCAUGAAAGUACCUGUUGUUAAGCAGCAGCUAGAAUCACUACCAUUGUCAAGUGCCUCCUGCUUCUCAUGUUAGAAACAAAUUCCUGCACAUCUGAUAUCUUCUGGACAUCUUCACGGGGAUGUCUCACCAGUCCCAUGAACUCAGUCCACGGACUGUGACUCUUCCUGCAACCUGCAGCUUUUCCACGUUCCUUUUACUUCAGACCCACUGUCCUUGCAACUCCC
rnacentral:lncRNA from 1 species